rnacentral:rRNA from 1 species
GGAUGCGAUCAUACCAGCACUAACGCACCGGAUCCCAUCAGAACUCCGAAGCUAAGCGUGCUUGGGCGAGAGUAGUACUAGGAUGGGUGACCCCCUGGGAAGUCCUCGUGUUGCAUCCC